CUACACAACGCUCUGCCGAUCUGUCGAAGGAGCGCGUCUGAAAUGCCGUCCGGCGGUUUCGAGCGUCGUAGGCGAACUGCGAUUAGUCAAAUCCGUUCGGCUAAUGGAAUUU